UUGGAGGGCAAGUCUGGUGCCAGCAGCCGCGGUAAUUCCAGCUCCAAUAGCGUAUAUUAAAGUUGUUGCAGUUAAAAAGCUCGUAGUUGAAUUUCGGGGUCAGCAGGCUGGUCGUGCCAAUGGUAUGCACUGGCCUUGCUGAUUCCUCCCUCUUGAUGAGCCGUAAUGCCAUUAAUUUGGUGUUGCGGGGAAUCAGGACUGUUACUUUGAAAAAAUUAGAGUGUUUAAAGCAGGCAAGCGCUUGAAUACAUUAGCAUGGAAUAAUGAAAUAGGACGUUUAAUCCUAUUUUGUUGGUUUCUAGGAUUGACGUAAUGAUUAAUAGGGAUAGUUGGGGGCAUUAGUAUUCAAUUGUCAGAGGUGAAAUUCUUGGAUUUAUUGAAGACUAACUACUGCGAAAGCAUUUGCCAAGGAUGUUUUCAUUAAUCAAGAACGAAAGUUAGGGGAUCGAAGACGAUCAGAUACCGUCGUAGUCUUAACCAUAAACUAUGCCGACUAGGGAUCGGAUGAUGUUAAUUUUUUAAUGACUCAUUCGGCGCCUUACGGGAAAC
rnacentral:rRNA from 1 species